AGAGUUUCUAUAAGAUCCUGCUGGAGACUAGCCCUAUAAGACUUGGCAUAUCACAAGUAGCAAGGAUCAUUUCCUGCUAUCAACAUGCUUUCUGUCACCAAUUCAAUUCUCCUGACCCUCUUAAUGUUCGGGAGGAGCAAUGGAGACUCAGUGACCCAGACAACAGGCUUGGUUACUCUUGUAGAGGGGGCAUCUAUGACAUUGAACUGUACUUACAAGACCAGUUAUUCAGUUUUCACUUUCUGGUAUGUCCAAUAUCUCAAUGAAGCUCCUCGACUGCUCCUGAAGACCUCAACUGAAAACCAGAAGAUAGAGAGCCAAGGUUUUCAUGCCACUCUUGUUAAGAAGGAGAACUCCUUCCACCUGCAGAAACCUGCAGUCCAAACAUCAGACUCAGCUGUGUACUACUGCGCUAUAAGAGACACAGCUGAGGGUCGUACUCACUCCCCGCUGCUCUUAGGCGGUGACCAGGUGCCUGUGUGUCCUCUGCUGGUUCCCUCGCCCACUUGCACCUCUCACAUGCCCUUCACUCAAGUCUCCUCUUAUUCCCAACUGACCGUGCCUUCCGUUCUCUUGUCUGUACCCUGA